rnacentral:sRNA from 1 species
UUAGACUGUUUGCAUUUCUCACAAAGAGACGUCGACUGUAGUAAAAUUAGAAGAUGUUUAGACGAACUUGAGCUCUUUGAGACGGAUGACUUUAGAAGACUGUGGGACUUUGCUGACCGAACCUAUUAUGAUGAUUACUGUGGAAAGAAUGAUAAAGCCCAGGCGUGCGUAAAGAAA